GGCCAAGUUCAAGAACAACACCAUGCACAAAUAGUCCCCAAAAUGGCACAGAAAUGGCAUCAAGAGACCUUGAUUACAAGGAUAUGAAUCUCUUAAGGGAGUGGGCCCUAAGUUCGUGAGGAAUGUGUGCUUUGCCAUGAAGGAAAAGAAGGGCUUAAAAAAGAUGCAGGUCAACAACACCAAGGACAUGAAUGGACUAGCCAAGGCUGUCAGGGCCCUCAUAUAGCUCAAGGAGGUCAAGGUCAAGACCCCUGAGGGCAUCAGCUACAAGCUCAAUCUAUUUGCCUACAUUGCUGA
rnacentral:lncRNA from 1 species